UACGGAGGGUGCAAGCGUUGUUCGGAAUUACUGGGCGUAAAGCGCGUGUAGGCGGCCGAUUAAGUCUGGUGUGAAAGCCCGGGGCUCACCCCCGGAAGUGCGCUGGAAACUGGUCGGCUAGAGUAUGGGAGAGGAAAGUGGAAUUCCCGGUGUAGCGGUGAAAUGCGUAGAUAUCAAGAGGAACACCUGAGGUGAAGACGGGUUGCUGGGCCAACACUGACGCUGAGGCGCGAAAGCCAGGGGAGCAAACGGG
rnacentral:rRNA from 1 species